rnacentral:lncRNA from 1 species
CAAAAGUGUGUCAACAUAGCAUGAACAAUCAUGGACUAAUGAGUUACAUGAAUUAUAUAUUUAAGAUGUUGCGUAUAAAGCUCUAGACUAAAAUAUUACAUCCUUUUUCUUACCCGACUGCUUAAUUGCUCUCUCUUGACUUUGUUGACAGAGCUGAAGUAUCUUCUAUUCUGGACAAAUAGGCACGUCAGUCUUCCUAAACUUGGCAUAUCUGUAAGAAAUUGGAAACAGACCUGCAGAAAGAUGUGGAAUAUACUGUUUUCACACUGAUUAAUCUCCUGUAGAAAAACUUGGGGCAAGGCUCAGUCAAUCUGUCACAUGAGGCAAGAUAUCAGCACCAUGAGGUUUAAGCACCAAUUCAUCAGCAAGGACUGCUGUGUAACAUUAACCAAAGCAAGGUACAAGGAGAACUGACUGAAACUGCCCACUGAGAAGCCUACAUCUUCUCAUGCACAAACAAGAAGGAACCCAUACUCCACCUGACAGUACGGAGGACAGUCUGAAUAAAAUGAAGCCAGCAGUGCUGGAAAGGACUACACUAAUCAGAAAACAUGCAGAAGACAUAUGUGGACAUUUGGACCUAUGGCAGGAAAACAAGACAAGGAGGGAGGCUAUGAGGUUUUCCAUAGAGAUCUGAGAUGGCAAGUGUCAUACGAGCCCUGCUUCCAGACAUCAUGGAGACCCAGCAGUUUGCCAACACGCCCAUUACUCUGAAGGUGCUGAACAUCUUCAGAAAUGUAGUGCGCCACCUGGAGAAGAGGCAUGCCAGUCCCAUUGCUCUGGAGCUGGCUGAGAAGAUUCUGCCUCUUUUUAAUCAUGUAAGUCUGCCGUGGGAGGCUGAUCUCCGUGGGUGGGUGCUCGACCAGAGGGCGUUCUCCUUUCUUUGCUUCUCCAGCUCUCGGGAAUGAGAUGUCUUCUGGGCUCUGCAGCCCAGCAGGCCUUGUCCUUGGCAGCGUAGCUUGGUUUUUCUUGGUGAUGUUGAUGCCCCUUCAGAAAUGCAAUGCACCAUCUAGGGAAGAGGCAGGGCAGUCCCAUUACAGAACCAGCUGUACCUGAAGGAUUCUCAGGCCUCAUAGCAGUAUUAGGCUGUCAAAUUCAUCAGUGAGCCCAACCCCUGGGUCCCUCUUUGGGCCCUGCGCUGGCAGCAAGGUUGCAGCCCUGUGGCCUCCGGAUACAGCCUGCCCAUGCCUUUGCCCCGAUGGGUGCCUGCUUGGGCACCGUCCCUGUCUGCAGCACAGGAGGGGAAGCAGCUGGGCUGGCUGGGCUGCAGUCUGUACUCUGGGGAGUGUGUUGGGUAGUAGGGGUUUGAUGGGAGCUCUUUUCCUAGGGCUGGCUGUGCAGCAAUCUGGGGAACAAAGUGAGGAAAUGCUGAAUGAAAUCUGCAGUGGUGAGUGAGGGCAGUGCUGCGUGUGCUGGGGCUGGGGGCAGGGGGCAGAGCCUGGGCAGCAUGCAGCUGUGCCUUGCUCUGCUGCAAGGAAAUGCUGCAGGGGCAGAGGAGCAUUCCUGGGGCAGGUAGGGCACUCCUGAGCAGUGGCUUCCAGCUGAUCCCUCAGUCUCACGCGCUCCUCUUGGCCAGGAAAAGCCAUGGGUGGGUCUAUCUAACUCCAGAGGAGUUGCUGGUGGCUCUCUGAAGGUCGGUGGGUUUCAUCUCUGUUCUGUUUCCUUCUGUUGCAGCCUUUGGAAUAAUACUCCCAUCUAGCCAUCUGUUCCCUGGCAGCUGAUGAUGAGAUCCUGAUGCUCAGACAUCAAAGGAAGCAGGCAACAUCAACAUGGAGUUGGCUCUCAGCACUUUGCUGCUGGCCCUGCAAAGCCAUCUAUCCCACAAAAGAUGUCUCUAAUUAACUCAGAUUGCAAAGCCAUUCCUUUGGUGUCCUCCUGUGUUGAGCCUUCGUGCAAGAUUUCCAUAGCAGUGGGCUGUAGGUGUGACCAGUGUGAGCAGAGCCUGAGAGCUGACCCGUUACAGAGUUGAGCCUGCCCAUCUGGCCUCAGAGGGGAUCUGUCCCUGGAGGCGCCCAUGUAGGACUAGCUGUAUUAGAACUGAAGGAGGCUGCAACCUACAGUGAGAACCAUGGUGGUGCAGACUGUCCCUCUGCAGCCCAUGGUGUUGAGAAUGGACAGAACUCAGAGGGUUGAUCUGGAUGCAGGAGUGCAUCCUCAGCGUGUCUGCUGACAGUACUCAGCUGGGAAAUGCUGUUCAUUCUCUCCAGGGGGAUGAGAGGCCUCAGGUGGAGAUACAGAUCCUUUGGAGAACUGGACACUCAGCAACAGCAUGCAGUUCCACUGAAAAAAAAUAAAAAAAAAAUCCCAAACCGGCA